CCCCUCACAGCUGUUGUCACAUGUGAAUCCCGGUGAUCCAACAACUUUGCCAAUCCGAAAUCUCCAACUAUGGCCUCACAGUAAUCAUCAAGCAGUAUAUUUGCAGCUUUAACAUCCCUAUGAAUUAUCUUCGGGUCACAUUGCUCGUGCAAGUACAAUAAGCCCCUAGCUGUUCCUAAAGCUAUUCUUUUCCUCGUUCCCCAAUCCAAGGCUGGUUUGGCUGCAAACAUCAGAAACCACCAAUAUUAUUCUAAGAGAACGAAACCAAAACCAAGAACAAACAGGCAGAUGCAGCCUAGACUGGACCCGAAGGCUAAAGCAAUUUUAUGGCCCUUGAGUCUACCCGAGGGCUGCGAGUCUAACAAGCACAGAAAAUGAUAUCAGAUUAUAUAUAUUUGGAGGAUCAUACCAUAUCCGUGUACGAAUAUAUGUUAAAUACAAGUAGUGGACAUGGAUAGUUUAGGAAAAAUAAAGAGAUAUUCAAGAUGGGAGAACUGUUCUUACUUUGUGAAUUAUUUAAGGAAAAAGGCAUUGGCAUUGGCCUUGUUCUUGAA